AGGACGAACGCUGGCGGCGCGCCUAACACAUGCAAGUCGAGCGAGAACCGGGGCUUCGGUCCCGGGGACAGCGGCGAACGGGUGCGUAACACGUGAGCAACCUGCCCCGAAGACCGGGACAACCCGAGGAAACUCGGACUAAUACCGGAUGUCCUCACCGGAUCGCAUGGUCUGGUGAGGAAAUGGAUUCCGCUUCGGGAUGGGCUCGCGGUCUAUCAGCUUGUUGGUGGGGUAACGGCCUACCAAGGCGACGACGGAUAGCUGGUCUGAGAGGACGAUCAGCCACACUGGGACUGAGACACGGCCCAGACUCCUACGGGAGGCAGCAGUGGGGAAUCUUGCGCAAUGGGGGAAACCCUGACGCAGCGACGCCGCGUGCGGGAUGAAGGCCUCGGUUGUAACCGCUUCAGCAGGACGAAUUAGACGGUACCUGCAGAAGAAGGCCCGGCCGACUACGCGCCAGCAGCCGC
rnacentral:rRNA from 1 species